CUCCGAAGUAAGGUGGUGUUAUAAACGUGUCAAAUAACACACCAAAAACAUUAUGCCAGGGUUCAGAAUGCUUGCCUUUAAGUUGUGGAGGGGUGAGGUGCUCUCCAAAACUUUUGAAAGUUUCUUCUCUCUCUCCAAAAUCCUAUUUUAAAAUAUAUUUAAAUUAACACACAUUUCAAAAACAGUACAAAAAAGUUGUUUGGAAAAUUUUCAAAUAAAUCUUAAAAUAAACUAGACCAAAUUUGAGGAAGUUAGGAAAAAGAAUCAACUCAUUUGGAGUUAUAAUUAAAAAGUUAUAGCCAGUCAAAGUUCUGGUCAAAAACUGAUUUAAAUAAGACAGAGAAACGUUUCAGAGAGGAAUACGCUUUCGGAGCGCGGGAAACGUACUGGGCGGAUUACGCCUUCACUUAACCCACGUGGAUAGGCGCAGGGUCACUGACAGUGGGUCCAAGGGGCCCACUAGUCAGGUUUGACCAGUCUUCUCCCUCCUCUUUCUCUGUCCUGAGCGGAGGCGGAACUCCGGCGAUCGCCGCCGGCGAUUGGCGGCUCCGUUCGAGAAACCGAAGCCAUCCAAGGGCUCAGGGGUCGAGGCAGUCCCGCCGGUGGGUGUUACGGUCUCGGGGGUGGACGGGGUCGUCGGCGGUGAGUCUGGUGGCGGAGGGAGCUUCAGGAGCAGAGUGUGAUUGGGGCUACGAUGGUUCCCGAUCAAAAUCGAGUAGGGGGAUGGGUUCACGGUGGGAAGGGGGAGUUCUUGGUGGAGAGAACGGAUAGUGGGAGGCCUUGGUGGUGCUGGAAGAGCUGGGGCCAUGGCGGCGGCUGUUGUUGCCGGAGGUGGGGAAGAAGACCUCCCCCAGGUCGAUUGGCUACCACAAGAGAACUAGGGGAGCAUUCUAAGGUUGCCUGUGUGCUUGAAUGGGUUCGGGGCCUCCUUUUAUAGGCGUGGCAAGGCGGUUCCGUGGCGGCCGUGGAUAAGCUCUCCCGCGACCGCCAUUCUGUAGCUGCAGGGCUUCGUGGCGAGGCUGGGGAUGGCGGCAGGAGCUAGCGGACGAGCGGCUACUACUCCAAGGGCGAGCUGGCGAGCGGAGGUGGCUUGGGCGGCGCUGGCCAGCGCAGGAGCUGUCGGGCGGCGGUGGCGGCUAGCUGUUGGCUUGCCGGAGACGUGGCGAGGGCUGCGGGGUUCGUGGGGUGCAGAAGGGGACACGGCGCACUGGCUAUGGUCGGUCACGGACUGGAGUAAGUGCGGGGCGGGACGCGGCGGCGCGGGCGCACGUGCGUGCCAAACGCACGAUCUGGGCGCGCCUAGAGCACGCACGAAACGUGCUCGACGAAUUGCCAGAGCCUGCUACAGAGCUUGGGUGAGGCUGGCAAUUAACAGACCCAGGCUAGGGGAAACUGGGAGCCUAGUGGACAUGUUAGUUUGAUCAAAGGUGCAAGCUCACAGUGCAAUGCCAAAACUCAUGUUAAAACUGGUCAUGCCUACAGGGUGCUCGAUAGAAUGCCACAUGCACCUAGGCAUCUCUUGGGGUGGCCAAAACUUCCAUAUUGGGGUCUCUUUAGAUGAAUAAGAGGGUGGUAAGGUUGGUUUGCCAAAAGCAGAAACUUGUUAGUGCAAGUUUUGCAAAACUUCAAUUCUGGACAGGAAAUAAAUGACAUUAUUUCAUGAACCAAAAAUAUGCCAAUGGGUGCAUGCUCCUGGACUUAGAGGUUUGGUAGGGCUGUCUACAAGUAGGAGAAAGCACAAGAUCUUUGGAGCAAAAUUAAAUAGGGUUGCAGUAGAAAUCACAAGGCUGGACCAGAAUGAAAAUGAGGUUGAUUCACUCAAAUUUUUCAAAGAACGGCACUAGGUUUUUGCAUAAUGUUGAAUCAUAUGCUACUACCAAUAUCCCAUAAUUUUGGUGGAGGCUAGAAAGAAUUAUUUAAAAGGGUUGUAGUGCAAAUUGCACUCUGGACCAGAGAAGGAAAAUUGAGUGUAGAGCUCAAAAUAUUACAUGAAUAAAAUAUAUUUUUGUAUAAAAGUGAUUUAAAAACAUCACAUGACAUCUCCAAAUUUUGGUUAGAAUUUUAGGUGAAUUUAUCAAAUGGUUGUAGUUCAAAUAUGGCCAUAUAACCUUGAAAAACCAUUUUUCAAGAAAAUAAAGAUCAAGCAAUUUAAUUAGUUAAUUAGUUAUACUGAUAAAAGAAAAGUUUUUCUUGAGAGGUUAAACAAGUCCAAUAACAUAUUUGAAAGGUUUUCACUAUGAGGAAAAACUCCAUAAUAACAAGGGAGAAAAUGGUUCAAAAAAAUAAAAAGGGAGCCUAGAAAAUAAAAGUUUUAAUUCCUGGCAAAAAUUUUAAUUUAAUAAAACAAGGCCAAAAUUUUGGGGUGUCACAAUACUACCCCCCUUAAGAAAAAUCUCGUCCUCGAGAUUUGUUCAAAGCUGUUUUAAGAAAAACUAUACGCAAUAAAAAUAUGGCUACAGUGAGAGGGCAAUAAGUGGUGAAAAACCACAGUGUGAAUACUGGUGCUGCGUGGAAAAAUCUACGGUUCGGGACAAAAUCGUGAGAUUCUACGCUAGAUAUAAAUUUAGAAUAACUCCUAAAUUUAAAUAUAUGCUGGUCGUACCCGAGAGCACAGUGCUCCCUCUGGCUGACAGGUGGACCCGGGGUCCACUGCCAGUCUCUUCUUCUCCCUCUGGUUCUCUCUUCUUCCUCUCUCCCGCGCGCUUUCUCUACCGGCGACGCCUAGCGCGUAGGGCAUUUAGGCCGUACCGUGGUAGUGCGCGGCGUGCUAGCUACCGGGGCAGUGUGCACUCACCUCGCGGGCCAGCGUGAUGUCGGCACUGCUCGCGGAUUCGACUCCGAACACCGGCGAUCGGGCGACGAGCGGUGUUGGUGGACUUCGCCCACCGUACACCGAGCUCGAACUAUAAAAACGGUCGAGGUGUCCCUCUCUUCUUCCUCACACCUAGCCUCACUUCUCCUCCUCCUUCUUUCUCCAUUACUGCUUACAGAAGCUCGGGUGAGGCUCUAAUGGCGGAGGCGAUGCCGGACUGGUUUGUGAUCCUGAUAUUUGGAGGGCUGGCGACACUACUGGGGCUCUCUGUGCUCCUGUGCGCGAUGAUCCUCGACGAUCGUCGCGACGCUGCUGCUCGGGUGUUGGCUCUCCGCGGUGGUGGUGAUCAUGAGGAGUAGAUGGGGUGUGCCGGGUGCUAACUGUUGUUAGGGGGGGCGAUUAGCUGGAUGUAACACCGUUGCAAAGUUUUGCAAACAGUGUAUGUGUUCGAAUGGUAAUGGUUGUGAGUCUGCUGCGUGGUGCUGUGUGAAAUUAAAUAAUCCACGUCGUGAGAAGGGGCAGAUGUAGCAACUCAGGGAAAAGAAAUCUCACUCCAGGAUUUUGCGAGGGAAAAAACAGUUAAUUUAAAGGAGCAUAGACCACAACAAAAACUACACACAUUAGUAGAAACCAAAUAAUUGACUCGUCAUACAAACUCAGGGUAUCACGCAUAAGUCACACACAUAAAUAAAUGUUGCAAUAAUGAACACCGCAGCGACGUCUAGAAUGGAAACGGUAACUGGACGGGGUCCCUAGAAAACAUCUCUGGUACUGGGAUACACUCCUCUUAUAUCGGGGGAAGUGGAUUGACCAGUCGAUGCACGUGUCUCUCCUGGUCGGGCCUUAGUGCUCUGCCGAUGGCGAUCUGAGGAUUUAAAUCUGCGAGGCUCUGGAGAUAACCCAUCACAUGUUGGGUUAAACGCUCUUGAGCGAUGACGUACUGGACAAGGUUGGCCAGGACUGGGUCUCUCUCAAUUCGUCCACCGGGAAAAGAUGUCACUCCUCUGGGUGCUGCACGGCUCGGGAAGUAAUAAUACCCUCGUUCGCUGGCAUAGGGUACCGCGAAUCGAAGGCGAGCAAGCGCUUCGUAUGCAAUAGCUUCUAUCGCCAUAUGUGGGGUUGGCAUAGAUUUCCCCACGAAGGAGACCUCUGUUGGGUCUUGGUUUGAGUUUACGGGAGGGAUGUGCACUGCUGCCCAAUAUCUUGAGGUGGAAGAGGUGAUUCGUGAUUUGAACAGCUCGUACUGGGGUGGCUGGGUAGCGCCCAUGGUACUGCAGGUAAAAUCCCACAAUAUCUUGACAAAACUACCUGGGGUUGCAUCUGGGGUUCUUAGAUAAAUGCUAGGGCUCGGCAUGGCUAGGAGUGGUUGUGAGGAUGGUGCGCAAGGUGAGAGGUUCUUGGCAAGGUCACGCGGUGGCCUUUUAUAGCACUGGAGCUGGGUCAUUUUUACCGAGGUGAAUGGUAAAGAAAAAUUUUCAGCUCUGUUCCAAGGGUCGGGGUCAAGCCACAGAUUCACACAUUUCACUAUAGUGAUGUGUUACUGUGGGGGUUGUCGGGGAAGUUUUUUUUUGGUAACUAUGCCUGGGAUAGAAAUCUUAUACUGCAUACUGGAGUAUCCAGACAUGACUACUAUUAAAACAGAGGCACGUCAACAGGCGGCGCUUAUUUACAAGGUCACACGAUAACAAAGUGAGGGUACACUGGGACUCGACACUACUCGAGUGACUUAGUCUACCUCGUUUACAUCCAAGCGGGCGUGCCUUGUGGAUGUCGAGGCUUCUCUUCGGGUCUCGUCGUUUGAAUUAGCUGGAGUGGGUUGAGGGGCUGCAAGCUCGGGGUAGCGAUGAGGACCAUCUCGGGGAUUGUUGGCCACAAUCCCGUUGGAGUGUGCUCCCAAUAUGCGACGAAGCACCUCUGGGGUUAUCGCAGCACCUUGGCCUAUGGCUGGGGCAGACCUCAGGGACUCGAUCGGGUGUCCAAACAGCACGACUGGGUUGUCGGUUUUGGGCUCGUUUUCUUCUCUCGCCGGGGCUCGACGAACCAGCUCUCCACGAGCGGCGAUUAGAUCAAUAGUGAUUUGAUCGCAUAGUUCCUCUAGUGCACUUACAUAGCGCACUAGGUGCAACAAUGCAGGAUCCGUCUCGUGAUCUCCGUUGGCAACUUGGGGUGGCCUACCAUACCCUUCACGUCUGGGGUAGUAGUGGAACGAGCGACAGUUAACUCUGGGCGACAAGUGCCGGAGAUGAACUAUAGCCUCUCGAGCAGCUUGUUGGAUGGCUUGAAUGUCAAAGGAAGUUGUUCUUCCGGUGAACCUGUAGGGGCGCUCGGGCUCUAGACCCCUACCGUAGAGGUGUACAGUGGCCCAGAAUUGACGGUUCUCACCGCUCAUGGUUCCUUGGUACACAACAUAUUCUGGGGGCUCUUCUAACGCAUAGGCACGACGGGUGAGGUUUGCGAGUAUGGUCACAAAGCCUCCAAGGUUGGUUGCUGUGGUCUCAUUGUGUAUGACAGGUCCAGGCAUUGUGGCUCUGUUUGGGGUAGAGGCUGUGUUGUGCUGUGUUGGGGCUAGCAUGCCCCUUUUUAUAGGAAAAAGGGGACGGAGUCUUCCUUCGCACGCUUGCGAGAAAGGACUAUUUAGGAUUCGAUCACUAGCGCAUGACUGACAGGUUAGGUUGAUAGGUUGGGCACCGACUGCCAAAAAGUGUUGGGUCACUGUGUGGCUAUCUUGCACGAGAAGCUUGGCUGGGGUUUGGUUAUGGUUUGGUGGGUUGGUUUGCCUAAGUUUAUAGACCCAGCUAAGAUAGGAUUAGCCAAUGGUCAGCCUGGCUCUGAUACCAAGUCUGUCACGACCGGUUUUCUGGACAUAAAUUUACAGAAAAUGGCUGUUGUGCUCACCAGCCCCAGGAUUACUGUUAGCUGAUGAGGCACCAACUUGUUACAGAAAUUCCAAGCAAAAGUACAAAAUGUGUAGUACAAGACCAUUGUGGCCUAUGAGUACAUCAAAUGGUUUUCUAGUGGUCGAUGACGGAAGCGGUUUGUGGAUCAUCAGUGUAUGGGACUCCAUUUCCCACGGGAACAGCUGACCAGGUUAACUCCUAUCUUCGCGAGGCUGCUAUCACCGUUGCUUAGUUUCCGGGGCUGUCACCGCGACGCUCCUCUCCAUGCAGAAAUCUGGCCAAGACAAUAGCCAGGGACAAGCCAGUGAGUACUUUAAAUGUACUCGCAAACAUUAUGAACACUGGGAUAAUAUAAUUGAUAAUCAUGCACUGAAAUAUUCUAUGAUCACAUCGUCAGUCACAAAUAACAUAUCUUUUAUGCAUGCAAGCAGGUUAUUUAUAUGCAACAUGAAUAAGCAAUAAUGGAGUGGGAAAUAAAAUGCCGCAGUCGGGCGUCUGUGCGACACCACAUAAAGGGCUUACAAAGUAAAUAAAUAACAAGCAAUGCCAUAGUUGGGCGUCUGAGCGACACCACAUAAAGGGCUUAAAAAGAAAUGCCACAGUCGGGCGUCUAAGCGACACCACAUAAAGGGCUUAAAAGAAAUGCCACAGUCGGGCGUCUGAGCGACACCACAUAAAGGGCUUAAAAAGAAAUGUCACAGUCAGGCGUCUAAGCGACACCACAUAAAGGGCUUAAAAGAAAUGCCACAGUUGGGCGUCUGAGCGACACCACAUAAAGGGCUUAAAAAGAAAUGCCACAGUCGGGCGUCUAAGCGACACCACAUAAAGGGCUUAAAAAGAAAUGCCACAGUCGGGCGUCUGAGCGACACCACAUAAAAGGGCUUGAGAAUAAAUAAUCACAAUGAAUAUCCAGGAGGUAGAACCAUCCCAGGGAUACUCGAUAAUACAAUAAUGCAACGGGUUAGUCCAUCAUAAAAUAAUAAUCAUGGUUCUCACAAGUCACCAGUCGGUAUCCAAGUUUGGUUUAACAAUUUCACCUCCAAAGACCGGCAUUAAGACCAACACUUGACCCAUCCCAGACUGUAAUCCUUAACCGUGGACACGGCUAUUCGAAUAGGUUUAAUCUCUGCAGAGGGUGUACUCUUUACCCACGAGUAACGGAUUCCUUUAUUCCAUCGGGACUAAUUCCGUCUACGGCCUUUUAGUUGAAAACACGCCUAACUUGCACACACCAGCUUAACUCAUCGGUGUCUGGAAUCACCCACGACACUUGUUAAGCAAAACUCUAAGUGGGGAGGCUACAACCUCGCGUAGCAUGGGAUCAAAUUUAUAUCGCGCGCUCUAAGGGGUGGCCUCCCCUCUCGGUCCCAACCGGAAACACCCAUGCCCCCUGACCAGGUAGCAUGCCUACCGGCUACAACCGAUGUCUUCCACCAUGGCCUCUCUGUACGGUGUGUGCUGGAAAGGGGUUGACGACUUACUGAACCGUACCCUACCUGCGGCAGGGACGAGUGGUAGUACGAGGCAAGUAUGGGGGUUACUGGAACAAGACUCGAUCUGCGGCCGACUCAGGAGGUUUAUAAGUUCCCUGCAUGACAUGUAUAUCAAAUAUAUUUCAACCGAAGAAAUCACCACUCAAUGUACCUUACCAUGCCAUACCGGACAUAACCGUCCCGACGGGGACCGGCGACAAGCUCACACCUACCCAAGGCCGACGCUUUCCCAGAUUCCUUUCCGGCAUGCAUGCAAGGCACAUGAGGAUGAUUACCAUCACAAUAAUAUUCAUUUCCAACAGCAAGGAAAUCACGGAUAUGCUUCCAUGCAAAUGAUCAUGUCACAUGAAAUUACAAGUCCUCCGAAGUAAGGUGGUGUUAUAAACGUGUCAAAUAACACACCAAAAACAUUAUGCCAGGGUUCAGAAUGCUUGCCUUUAAGUUGUGGAGGGGUGAGGUGCUCUCCAAAACUUUUGAAAGUUUCUUCUCUCUCUCCAAAAUCCUAUUUUAAAAUAUAUUUGAAUUAACACACAUUUCAAAAACAGUACAAAAAAGUUGUUUGGAAAAUUUUCAAAUAAAUCUUAAAAUAAACUAGACCAAAU
rnacentral:lncRNA from 1 species